rnacentral:rRNA from 1 species
UGUACCUACGGGACGCAGCAGUAGGGAAUCUUCCACAAUGGACGAAAGUCUGAUGGAGCAAUGCCGCGUGAACGAGGAAGGUCUUCGGAUCGUAAAGCUCUGUUGAAGGGGAAAAAGAGCGGAGAGAGGAAAUGCCUUCUGAUUGAUAUUACCCUUCGAGGAAGUCACGGCUAACUACGUGCCAGCAGCCGCGGUAAUACGUAGGUGGCGAGCGUUAUCCGGAAUGAUUGGGCGUAAAGGGUGCGUAGGCGGCCUGCUAAGUCUGGAGUGAAAGGUACCGGCGCAACCGGUACAGGCUCUGGAAA